rnacentral:rRNA from 1 species
UACGAACCGUACAAACGUUAUUCGGAAUCACUGGGCUUAAAGGGUGCGUAGGCGGCCAUGUAAGUGGGGUGUGAAAUCCCUCGGCUCAACCGAGGAACUGCGCUCCAUACUGCAUGGCUUGAGGGAGACAGGGGUAAGCGGAACUGAUGGUGGAGCGGUGAAAUGCGUUGAUAUCAUCAGGAACACCGGUGGCGAAAGCGGCUUACUGGGUCUCUUCUGACGCUGAGGUACGAAAGCUAGGGGUGCGAACGGG